CCUACGGGAGGCAGCAGUGGGGAAUAUUGGACAAUGGGCGAAAGCCUGAUCCAGCAAUGCCGCGUGAGUGAUGAAGGCCUUAGGGUUGUAAAGCUCUUUUACCCGGGAUGAUAAUGACAGUACCGGGAGAAUAAGCCCCGGCUAACUCCGUGCCAGCAGCCGCGGUAAUACGGAGGGGGCUAGCGUUGUUCGGAAUUACUGGGCGUAAAGCGCACGUAGGCGGUUAUUCAAGUCAGAGGUGAAAGCCUGGAGCUCAACUCCAGAACUGCCUUUGAAACUAGAUAACUAGAAUCAUGGAGAGGUGAGUGGAAUUCCGAGUGUAGAGGUGAAAUUCGUAGAUAUUCGGAAGAACACCAGUGGCGAAGGCGGCUCACUGGACAUGUAUUGACGCUGAGGUGCGAAAGCGUGGGGAGCAAACAGGAUUAGAUACCCGUGGUAGUCCACGCCGUAAACGAUGAUAACUAGUUGUCGGGGCUCUUAGAGCUUCGGUGACGCAGCUAACGCAUUAAGUUAUCCGCCUGGGGAGUACGGUCGCAAGAUUAAAACUCAAAGNGAAUGACGNGUAGAGAGNGACGAGACGACGAGAGGAG
rnacentral:rRNA from 1 species